UAGCUACUGCUGCCGAAACUGCCGCUUUACGUGCAUCUUAAGGCACGAAGAAUGAGGUUCGAAAAUUCAAGUUGAAGCAGCCUUAUAUAUAUACCUGACUAUAGCAAUACAGUUGUUAACAUUGCUGAGAAUGUCAAUGAUAGCUACAUUCUUUAUGAACCAAGUUACAUGAAUAAAAUGAGAUUAUUUCCAUUUGCAAGCUUGAUGAAUUGAAAGAAUUGAACACCAUUGUUCUAACCAAAAAUCCAAUCAGAAAAUUUGGCGGGACUCUGACAGGGGUGAAAUCUAUCACAAAGGCUCUCCCAGAUGAAUUAGCACAGAAUUCAAAGCUGCAGAAUUUAGAUUUGGAGAACAAUAUGCUGCAGAAUUCAUAAUUAUCUAGACACUUUUUAACCCUUGUAUCUUCAUCG